rnacentral:tRNA from 1 species
GGAGGUUUAGCUCAGUUGGGAGAGCGUUUGCCUUACAAGCAAAGGGUCAGCGGUUCGAGCCCGUUAACCUCCACCA